rnacentral:rRNA from 1 species
GACAGAGGGUGCAAACGUUGUUCGGAAUUACUGGGCGUAAAGCGAGUGUAGGCGGUUUGGUAAGUCGGAUGUGAAAGCCCCGGGCUCAACCCGGGAAGUGCACUCGAUACUACCAAGCUAGAGUAUCGGAGAGGUUGGUGGAAUUCUCGGUGUAGAGGUGAAAUUCGUAGAUAUCGAGAGGAACACCGGUGGCGAAGGCGGCCAACUGGACGAAUACUGACGCUGAGACUCGAAACGCUGGGGAGGCAAACAGG